AAUAGCCCAUGUAUCCUCCGCACAUCACUAUUGUCGCCCAUUGCGUCUGCAUCCAUCUUCCCCGUGCACGCCCUAUUUUCCCCAUCCAGCCGCCGCUCCUCCCCCAGUACCACGGCCAGCCGCCGGCGCCGGUACUGCUUGCUCUCUCCGGCCUGUCCCUCGGCCAGACACCGUCAUGCUGGAUGCUCGCUGUCCAUUCUUCUGGUCAAUCGUCACCAUGCCCGACGCUCUCUCGGCGAGCCGCCGCCACCGCGACCGACGUUCCGCCACCUACUACUGCCGCCACGACCGACGAUCUCCCCUGCAUGAAUUCUCUUGCCGCUACCGCUCUAUGGCCGCCACUACCCUUCCAGCUCCACGACGUAUGCUAUUCCGGCCACAAAUGCACAUGAAACAGCCUCACGCACCACCUAAUUCACCUAACCUCAUUACAUCACCCUUCAUUAACCUGCAAAUGCGGAAGAAAGUGGAUUUAAAUACCCCUGCUAUGUAGUGUCAUUGUCCUCCAUCACACACGACUUCUUGCGUCCCAUCGCAAGAGGCCUCCGGCCCGGUGGCGCUUCAGAUCAAAGCAAAUUCUCCUCGAGACGCACUCUGAUUUCUCUCCCUUGCACUACAGCUUAGCUUAUCUUUUCAAUCACGGGUCAACAACAGGUACAAAUGGACAACCAAAGUAGCAGGAUGUCACCUAAUUCCGCAAACAAUAAUUUUCCAUGUUCUACCAUCAUUUCAAUAAGAGAAGCUCAAAAGAAAUACAGGUGCAAUUGCAAAGAGGAAGAGCACAAAAGACCUGGAGUUUAUAACUGUCUGGUGAUGGCCGGACAUGAAUUUUUAGGACAUGAUGGCACGCGAUGCCGUAAUCCUGGGCGUCCGCAUGCGCAUCAGGAUUACUAAUUAAUAUAGGGCCUUUUGCAAUACGAUGGUAGUAACUCAAUGAUACAUAGAAAUAUACAGCCAUUGGUGGGCAAUGACGCUUUAAAUUCGUAUGGUACAACAUUGCCUGGUAGUUGA